AUACUACUCUCUUCGUUCCAAAUUACUUGUUGCAGGUAUGGAUGUAUCUAGAUGUAUUUUAGUUCUAAAUACAUCCAUCGAUGCGAUGAAUAAUUUGGAACGGAGGGAGUGCUUC
rnacentral:pre_miRNA from 1 species